GCGGAGGAAAAGAAACCAACAGGGAUUACCUCAGUAACGGCGAGUGAAGCGGUAACAGCUCAAAUUUGAAAUCUGGUCCCCUCUGGGGGCCCGAGUUGUAAUUUGAAGAGGAUGCUUUUGGCGAGGCGCCUUCCGAGUGCCCUGGAACGGGACGCCACAGAGGGUGAGAGCCCCGUAUGGUAGGACGCCGAGCCUCUGUAAAGCUCCUUCGACGAGUCGAGUAGUUUGGGAAUGCUGCUCAAAAUGGGAGGUAAACCCCUUCUAAAGCUAAAUAUUGGCCAGAGACCGAUAGCGCACAAGUAGAGUGAUCGAAAGAUGAAAAGCACUUUGAAAAGAGAGUUAAACAGCACGUGAAAUUGUUGAAAGGGAAGCGCUUGCGACCAGACUUGCGCCCGUCGGAUCAACCGUCCCUCGUGGGCGGCGCACUCCGGCGGGCUCAGGCCAGCAUCAGUUUUCCUGGGGGGAGAAAGGCGGCGGGAAUGUAGC
rnacentral:sRNA from 1 species